AAAAACGUACAGAACAUACCUGAACUAUUACCUAAAACUAUAAAUUUUUUUGAAUCUGUGUCUACCCAAACUUUUAAAAUUUUUAUUCACCAACCAACCUUUCAACUUGUUUGAUUUGAAUCAGUUAAUGAUACUUCGACUUUAAAAUUUAAACCGAUUACUUACUGUAAUGAAUUUCUAAUUGCGAGAAUUACAAAAACUCUGUAAAGAUAAACGACACACUUAAAAUUUAAAGUCAAAAUGCUAUAGACCGACUCAAAUCAAACAAAUUGAAAAAUUGAGCAGUAAUAUCAAAAUUUCGAAAGAUUAGAUAACCAACUCAAAAUAGUCCAUAAUUUAAAUAAGUACUGUACGUUUUUACCUAAAAAUUACUACAUUAUGUAUGCAUAUGUCGGCAACUUAUAUGUUAAUAAUCACUAGGUUGGUCAAGUGAUUGUUAUAUUAGGAUACUGGUUGCGAGCUUAUAAAAUGAGGCUCCUUAGACUUAAAAUUUUGCCUUCAAUGACUGAAGAUUCAUAUAUCUGUGCACCAAUAUAUAAGGACAAAUGAAUCAGACAUACAAUCGACGGUAUAAAACCAAAGUAUUUGAGCAAUCUAUAGCACUGCCGUAAUUUCAAAGUAAUAAAUAAGAAGCAUCACUAUAUAUUUACAGCAAUAGAAUAAAUGCUCAUUGCGACUCCGUUCAAAAUAAAAUAAAUCAUUUUUAAGCUAAAAUAUGUUGUUUAAAAAUUAUUACCAUUGCAUUUUGGAAUUGGCUAAAUAGAAAAUUGCAAAUUGUAAAACACAAUGCAAAAUUUAUAUAUAUAAACAUCUUCUUCAAUAUAUUUUAUAAUUUACUUAUAAAGCUUGUGAUAUUCAGCAGAUAAGGAGUUGGAUUAAAUGUCACGAUUGGAGUACUAUACUAGAUCUUCAAAGUUAUAAAAUAAUAUAAAUCACCUUUGUGAUAAAAUAUGCUACCUUAUAAAACCAAGAAUAAUAAAACUAUCCAAGCAACUACCAAAAAAAAAAAGUAAACAUUGUAUAAAACAUGCCUAAACUAUUAUCCAUUUUGAUCUUAAAUACCCAACCUCUAAAAAUCUCCCUUAAUUCAUUGAUAUAAACCACUGAGUGGCUCUUUAAUUUCAAAAUUUGAAUGCACUGUUUAUCUUUACAGGUUUAGUUAAUAUAUUUCAUACAAUUUGUAUAACUAUAAAUUCAUUAAAAUAAACUAUUAGCAUAAAUUUGUAUCCGAAAAGCCAUCAAACGACUUAAAUCAAAUAAAUUAAAAGAUUGGAUAAUAAAAUCAGAAAUUUUGAAAUAUUGAAUAGUGGAAUGAGAAUAAUCUAUAAUUCAAAUAAAUUUUACACAUGUUUAUCAAAAAAAAAAGUUUUAUAUCAAAAUAUUUACCAUUUUAGUUCUAUCCCAUUCAUGACAGUAGAAAGGACUCUGUACUCUAUAUGAUUGAUGGAAACGACCCACCGACCGUAGUAAUUAAGAAGGAAGAUGUUUGACUGAAACAGUUAUCAUUUAAGUGGCUUGUUUUAACUUUUUUGAACAUUUGAAAAGCUCAUACGCACAUGGAAAAUUGUUUAAGAAGAACUGGUUUAUCCCUGAUUUACCAAUUAAUAUAUUUAUAUAAUAAAAAAAUUAAAGUAAAAACCAUAGAUAACUUAUUUAAACUACGGAGAAUGGACUAUUUUGAAUCGACUAUUCAAGUUUUCAAAAUUGUUAUUUUUUCUACAUAAUUUUUUAAUUUGUUUGAUUUGAGUCAAUUAAUAGUACGCCGACUUUAAAAAUUAAGCUAAUUUUUUUAAUAAAUCUCUAGUUGUGAGAAUUACAUUAAAUAUACUAUCUAAAUUUGUAAAGAUAAACAAAAUAUGUUAACUCACAUAAAUCAAAUAAAGUAAAAGAGUAGAUAAUAAAAUUAAAACUGUAUAAGUUUGAAUAGUGGAUUCAUAAUGAUCCAUAACUCAGCUCUAUAAAUUUCUAUAAUUUUUUUUUUUAAAAAAAAAUAAGUGAGAUCUUGAUCAUAGAUAUUGCCCCACCACCUAAUAAUGAACCCCAUGCUUUUGGCAUAAUGACAAAUGACUCCAUCCAAAAAGGAAAGCACAAAAUUUUCUUUUUCAGAAAAAUCAAAAGAGAAGAAAUCAUUACUGAAGGAGACGGAAAAGCGAGAAAGAGGAGACGAUCAUGACCUUCUAUUUCUUUAAAUGAUAAAUAAAUAUAAUAAAAGUAACAGUAGGGCGAAAUAUGCAUGUCGAAUCCCUCAACAAUAGGCUAUAUGAAUUAUAUCCUCCAACUUUUUUUUUUUAAAGGGCUAUAAUUUUGAUUGGCCGACGUGAAAUAAAUCUUUAAAUUUGUUUUUAUGUAGGUGACAUUAUAGUUUAGAUAGGAAAUUACUGCUUUUCUAUUAUGCAUUUUAAAAUAUAAAUUUUUAUUGACGUUUUUUAGGGGCCGAGUCAAGUUGAUAUGGACUCGUUAUGCACUUGUCAAAAUUGGAACUAUAGUAUCCACUUCCCGGUUAGCAAUGCUCAAAUUUUAUAUUACUAAAAUAAAAUUUCCAAAUUAAUUUUAACAUUUCAUACAAAGUAAUAACUUUAUUUUAUAGUAAUUAUUAAUAAUUAAUGAAAUCUGCAACUUUAUAAAGAACAGGCAAAUUUAAUGUACGCACUAUUCAAUUUCAAAGGCUUUUAAAUUAGCUACAAGAGAUAAUCAAAACUAAAAAUAAUUAAGAGAUAUAUGUCACAAUGACCUGUAAACUACAACUUGUACAGAGGUUCCUAAACAAUUUUUACACCUCUAUAAAAUUUUUUUACCAAACAACCAACAACAAGGGUCAUAUAACCUUACAAUCCUCCGUUCUGGAGUUUAGCCAAAAUUUUUAAAUUUUUAACAUUAAAAAAAGAUUAAUAUUAAAAAAAAUAAAGUGAUAAGCGUAUCAUAAAAUCUACCGUGCCUGGAUAGAAAUAUUAUAAAAUUAUAACUAAAACUUAGUGUAAAUUUUAUUACUCAUGUUGUCGGACAAAAAGCUGAAAAUUCAAUUCUUUGUGUGUGUGUGUGUAUAUAUAUAUUAAGGUUAUUAUAUUUUUAUGAACAAAAAUUUCUUGUUGGCAUAAAUUAUUUUAAAGGAAAACUUCAAAAACUCCCUCUGUGGUUUCGUGUAUUCUCAUUUUGUGCUACCCUGUGGUUUAAAACGUAUCAAUUUACCCCUGUGGUUUCGUUUUAUCUUUUUGUUAUCAAUUUAUUAUUUUUUUUUUAAAAUCAGUGACAAAGUAAAAUUAAGGAUACUAAAAUGACUAUUCGAUAAAUAUAGAUGGUUAUCUGAAGUUUUUUGUAUAUAAUUAACGAAAUAUUAACGAAAAAGCUUCCGAAAAGAUAAAAAUGAAACCACAGGGGGUUAAAUUGAUACUUUUUAAACCACAGGUAGCAAAGUGAAAUGCACGAAACCACAGAGGGGUUUUGAAGUUUCCCUAUUUUAAAUGAUGAAACUUUCAAAUUAAAUACAUACGCUAAAUAUGAUAAAAUAUUUAAUUUUUUUUAAAAAAUAUUUAAGUUUUGUGAAAUUAUAAAAAACUCCAUUGAGCAUAAAAUGAACGAUCAAAUUAAAAAACUUUCUAAAAUAAAAAAUCAAAAUUUUUAUUUAAUAUCAGAGUUAUAGAUCUCAAUCUAAAUAGUGAAUAAAAUUUUCUAUCUAAAAUUCAACCGAUUUUUAUUUUUUAUAUUUUAAAUUAGAAGCAUCUUAUACCUAUCGAUAAAAAUUAUCAAUUUAAAUUUUUUAAUCGUAAAAAAUAAUAUUAAAAAUUUAAUAAAAUUUAAUUUUUUUUUUUUCGAUUUAAAAUACUUCUAAAUUAUGUUUAACGCAUGACGUCGAUAUCGAAAAUUUUAUUAUCAAAAUGACUUAUGAAUAACAAAAGUUGAUUGUACUCCAAAAAUAAUUAGCCGAGUGCGAAAAUUACAUAAAAUACGCUAACUAAAAUAUAUAUAAAAAAAUAAUAUAUUAAAAUUUUAAAAUUAAAUCAAAUAAAUUAAAAGAAAUGUAUAUUAGAAUCGAAUUUUUGGCAAGAAUAGAUAGUAUACCCAAAAUAAUUCCUAUUAUUACGUAUAUCUUUACUCGAAAAGAGAAAAGAAAAGAAGAGAAAAACGCUUGCCUCAAUUUCGGUGUUUGUGGUUUGGGUUAGAAGGCAAGCUCUUGGAGGGGAGGAGGCGAGCGCCCGAGGUGCUCGGAGGGCGCGAAUCCUGCGGGCAAAUUCGCCCGCUUCACGAUCCUCCUCAUGUUGCUCCUGCAAGUCUGCUGCUGCACCACGCCUUCACGGGCGCGCUUCUCCUCGCUCAUCCCACCUCCUCAUGACAUAAAAUUUCUUGUUGGCAUAAUUAUUUUAAAGGAAAACUUCAAAAACCCUCCCUGUGGUUUCGUGUAUUCUCAUUUUGUCACCCUGUGUUUAAAACGUAUCAUUAUCCCCUGUGGUUUCGUUUUAUCUUUUGUUUAUAAUUUUAUUAUUUUUUUUUUAAAAUCAGUGACAAAGUUAAAAUUAAAGAGAUACUAAAAUGACUAUUCGAUAAAUAUAGAUGGUUAUCUGAAUGUUUUUUGUAUAUAAUUUAACGAAAUAUUAACGAAAAAGCUUCCGAAAAGAUAAAAUGAAACCACAGGGGGUAAAUUGAUACGUUUAAACCACAGGUAGCAAAGUGAGAAUGCACGAAACACAGAGGGGGUUUUUGAAGUUUUUCCUAUUUUAAAUGAUGAAACUUUCAAAUUAAUACAUACGCUAAAUAUGAAAAAAUAUUUAAAUUUUUUUAAAAAUAUUUAUAGUUUUGUGAAAUUAUAAAAACUCCAUUGAGCAUAAAAUGAACGAUCAAAUUAAACUUUCUAAAAUAAAAAAUCAAAAUUUUUAAUUUAAUAUCAGAGUUAUAGAUCUCAAUCUAAAUAGUGAAUAAAAUUUUCUAUCUAAAAUUCAACCGAUUUUUAUUUUUUAUAUUUUAAAUUAGAAGCAUCUUAUACCUAUCGAUAAAAAUUAUCAAUUUUAAAAUUUUUUAAUCGUAAAAAAAAUAAUAUUAAAAAUUAUAAAAUUUAAUUUUUUUCGAUUUUAAAUAUCUCUAAAUGAUGUUUAAGGCAUGAAAUCGUCGAAUCGAAAAUUUUAUUAUCAAAAGUGACUUAUGAAUCAAAAGUUGAUUGUACUCCUAAAAAUAAAUUAGCCGAGUGCGAAAAUUACAUAAAAUACGCUAACUAAAUAUAUAAAAAAAAUAAUAUAUUAAAAUUUUAAAUUAAAUCAAAUAAAUUAAAAGAAAUGGUAUUUAGAAUCGAAUUUUUGCAAGAUAGAUAGUAUACCAAAAUAAUCCUAUUAUUACGUAUAUCUUUACUCGGAAAAAGAGAAAAGAAAAGAAGAGAAAAACGCUUGCCCAAUUUUCGGUGUUUGUGGUUUGGGUUUAGAACGGCAAGCUCUUGGAGUGGAGGAGGCGGUGAGCGCCCGGAGGUGCUCGGAGGGCGCGAAUCCUGCGGCAAAUUCGCCCGCUUCACGAUCUCCUCAUGUUGCUCUGCAAGCUCUGCUGCACCAACUGCUUCACGGCGCGCUUCUCUCGCUCAUCCCACCUCCUCCUCUCUGCCUGCCUCCCCCCUCUUCUCCUCCUCCCCCUCUCCCUCCUCCUCCCUCGCCAAUGGCGCCGACACCGCCGACGAGCCCGAUACCUCCUUCCCCUUGUCCACACGGAGAAUCUCGAGCGUCCGCGACGCCCUCUUCUGGGCGAGCGCGCUCCCGAGGAGCGUGAGCUCGAGGAGGGCGGAGACGACCCCGGCGUCGGCUAUGGCGGCGCGGUCGGCGACGCGGCCCUUGUGCGCCAUCACCAUGAGGACGUACGCCGCCUUGUCCUGGCACCCGGGCGCGUCGCACCACCCCAGCGCGUCCACCAGGAUCGGGAACGCCUCCGCCGCGUUCCGCCCCACCGCGCGCCGCCCCUCCGGCGCCGCCGCCACCAGGUUCGCGAGCGUCGCCAGGGCGCGCUCGCCCGCGCCGGCGUCCGCGUCGCCCGCGGCCGCGAGCAGCGCCGGUACGAGCCCCGCGUCCACCAGCCGCGGCGCGUUCGACGCCGCGAUCGAGAGGUUGAAGAGCGCGCGGAGCGCGUCGGAGCCGCUCGGGUUGGGGGUAGGUUUAGGAUAAGGGUUAGGGUUAGGGUUUUGGAAGGCGCGCACCAGGAAGGGGAUCGCGCCGGAGGAACCGAUGAUCGGCUUGUUCGAGUCGAGGGCGCUCAGGCUGAGGAAGUUCGCGACGAUCGCCUCGGAAACGGAAGCGGAAGCGGAAGGGGAAGGGGAGGCCUCGUCCUCCGGGGAUCCGAUCAUCCCCAGCAUCUUGUGCACGGCGCCGGCCUUCACGAUCGCCGCCUUGUUCCUGAACCAAAAUGUGGAUCGACCGAAACCCUAAGAAAUGUCGUUUGGAUCGAUCUGAGGGGACGAGAGAGGUUAGGGUUAGGGCUCACAUGUCGUUGCCGAUCCCGAGGUUGAGGAGCGCGUAGAGCGCCGCGAUCCGGAGCUCGAGAUCGUCGGCGUCCAGCAUCCCGAUCAGGGGCGGGAUCGCGCCGAGCAUCGCCAGCGUCUCCCGCGCCUCGGCGUCGUCCUUCGCGAGCCGCCGCACCUCCUCCGCCGCCUCGCGCCGCCGAUCUCCGCCGUCGCCGUCGACGUGGAGCCGCCGCACCACGCGCUGGAGCUCCUUCAGAGCCUCGACCUUGCGCCGCGCCUCCUCUUCCGCCGCCGCCGUCGCCGUCGCCGUCGCCUCAGCCGCCUCGUCGGAGCCCGACUCCGACGCCUCCGCCCUGAGGAGCUCCGCGAGCCGAUCGGACCUCGGCCGCGGCAUCGGCGACGAGAACGCCGCCGCCGCCACGGCGCAGCCGCGGCCGCCGCCCCUGCGGCGGCGUGGGCGAGAGACGCCGCCGCACAUGAGCGCCUCGAGGAGCCUGCGGCGGAGGGACGCCGCGGAGAAGAGCGGCCAUAGUCGGAACCCCGCGUCGCCACGAUCGCACUUCGCCAUUGCCGCUCCCCAAUGCAAGAACCUGCUCCCCCUCUGUCGAUCACUACGUCACAUCGUCGGAGGAGGAGGACAAAAAGCAGUGGAUGCGACAAUGGCUUGGAGGAGAAGCCACGGCCGUAGAACACUCGGCUUCUCUUAAACGCAGCUUUUACUUCUCUCUCCAGCAUAUAUAUAACGCGGCGCUAUCCUCGAGGUGCGCUCUCUCUCUCUCUUCUCUCUCUCUCCUCUGAGCUCGUCCUUACGGGACGGGCGACACGAUGGCUCUCGCGCCCUGUCGGUUUUUGAGUGCGUUAAUUGCACUAAAUAUUUCACUUUAGUCCCUCAACACUCUAAUAUUUACAACCGAGUAUAUAUGCUCUUUUUUUUUAUUUUAACUACUAAUUUUUAUGACAAAUUAUUUCAACAAAAUGCUAGGUUCUCGUGUUGAAGUUAUAAUUUAAUUUGAUAAAAUAGAUUUAAUAAAAAUAAUUAAUAGGAUUUGAAAAUUUAAACAUAACACGUAAAAAAUAAUUAUUACUUUCGUCCAAGUAUAGUUAUACAUACUAUUGGUCAUCAGUUUGAAAAUUUAAUUAUUUUUUAGUUUAUUUAUUUUCUGGGUUAAAAAAUAGUAUAUAUUUGAGAGAUUUUGAGAUAGAAGGAUAAAUCUAAAAAAUAAUUAAAUAAAAAUUUAUUAAGACCCUCUUAUUUGUAACUAUUUUUAAAAAAUUAAAUUAAAUAUUUUAAAAUGUAGCUUUAAUAAUUUUAUUAAUUAAUCUAUUUUUUAUGAUCAUUGUUGUUAAAUUUAAUAAAAAUAACCUAUGAAUUUGCUAAAAUCUUUGAUUUAGCCGAUAAAAUUUAUUUAUUUGAAGAGAAUUCAAAAUUAAAGGAGAGUAUCAAUCCAACCAAAAAAAAAAAAAAGUUGAGAUGCGAUAUUCUAAAGUCCUAUAAUUUAGGGGUCUCGGUGCAUGUUUACCAAUAUUAAACUUGUGCUAAUGAUGCAAUUAAAGCGUUUGAGAAAUAUAUUUUUAUAAUUAGGCUUGCAUUUCGAGUAUUAUUAUUGAGGCUUAGAAGUGUGUUAUUAAAUAGUUAAAGUAGUCAGAGAUAAUUUGACUUUUUCAGAGGGCCGGGGAGUUAUUGGGUCGUGCUUUAAAAUAAGCGCAGGUUUAAUAGAGAAAGGCUGACUUAGAAAGUACAAGUUAGGUCAUGGAUUUGGUUCGAUUUACAACAAUGCCACUGUACCUGCCAAUAGUGUAAUACACUAUUAAAUAAAUACUCGCUCUGGCCACGGUGAUUUAUUUAAUAAAGGGAAAACUUCGAAUACCCCCUUGUGGAUUAACUUUUUCUCACUUUGGUACCCUAUACUUUAAAGUGUAUCAAGUUAGUACCUUGAGGUUUCGCACUUUCUCACUUUAGUACCUUGUGGUUUAAAGUGUAUCAAGUUAGUACCCUAUAGUUUCGCACAAUAUUUCAUUAAAAGAAAAAUAAAACUACAGGGUAUUAACUUGAUACAAAAAUAAAAUUAAAGGUGCUAAUUUAAUACAAAAAUAAAACCACAAAAUACUAACUUGAUACACUUUAAACUAUAGGGAACUAAAGUGAGAAAGUGCGAAACCACACGAUACUAACUUGAUACACUUUAAAUCAUAGGAUACUAAAAUGAAAAAGUACGAAACCACAAUGGGGUUUUUGAAGUUUUUCCUUUAAUAAAUGAUCUGAAUACGAGUUAAAUUUUUCGACUUGAAAAUUUAAUAAGUAGAACAUAAGUUGAGAUCAGUUCGCUUAUUUUCGACUCGAUAUAGCUCGAAUAUAUAUUUAUUUUUGCUUUUUAAAUUUUUAUCCCAAUCUGAAUAUAAAGAGAUUUAUAUUUUGUAAAUUUAAUUAUUAGAUUAAGAUUUUAAUUUUCUACAUUUUUUUAAACUCAUAUAAUAAUAAAGCCGGUAAUUUAAUUUGUUGUUCGCAAGCUAGCUUGUAUUCGACUCAUUAAUAAAUAAGUCGAACACGAGUUAGAUUUUUCAGUUCGAAAUUUUAACAAGCCAAUUAGUGUGUGGCUCGUUUAAUAAACGAGCGAACAUGAAUUGGCUCUAGCUCAUGUUUAACGGUCGUAUCUGCAGGGAUAAAAAUUAGUAAAAUAUUACCUAUACAUCUUUUAUAAUGUGUAUAUCUUAUAUCGAUGACAUUUUUUUAGUAAAUAAUUUUUUUUUUUAGAGAAAAGUAGCAUGCUAUUUGUUUUAUUUAUUUCAUUUAGAAAUAAAUAUAGCUAGAAAUAUAAAUCAGUUAGAAUUCGAAUUUAGAAUCUUGGGUGAUUUUUUGCCACUUACGCUAGAAACAAUGGGUUUAGUAAAAAAUUGUUAGAUAGGAAAAAAUUAGGACAUAUAUUGUAUACCUGCAUGAUAGGUGUAUAGAUAGUAUUGCUCUAAAAAUUCUAUAAGAUCAGCAUCAAACUAAAAUACGGUGAAGCUGGAUAUAUGUCAUGCACGCGUUUCCGGGAACGAGUACUAUUAUUUGCGAGUACCAAACAAAAUAUUUGAAAAUAAAGAGAUGAAUAAGAUCUGAUUCUUCUUUUUAUUUUCGAAUCAAACCGGGGCUAAAGAAUAAAAAUUAAUAAUAAUAGCAAACUAGGCUUGAGCAAUUAAUUUUUAUAAUUCAAAAUAUGACUAUAUUGUACGGACACGAGGGUGGGGGGCAGAGUUAUUGUUAUGCGGACGGUGCGAUGGACGGGGAAAUGGGAACCGGAUUGUAUGGNGACAGUAACAAUAAUAAAUAUUAUUAUUACUAUUUUUUUUUUUUUCUUGAGAUGGUGUGUGGUCAAGCGUGGUGGAGACCAUAGUUAGUUAGUGGAGAGUCUGGAGACUUGGAGUGGGUGGGGCCCGAGGUAUGGUGUUAAAUUGAUAAUUAAUUACAGAUUGGUCCUUAAAUUUUUCAGAUUUUUCAAUUCAGAUUUUUUUUUAUAAUCAUAUUACAAAUAUUUAUUAUGAAUUUCAAUGGAAUCACUUUUGACAAAAAGUUAUUAUCACUCGGCAAAAUCUAGAGCUUCCGCGGCAUUAAUUUGAUAAAUAUUGGUUAAUACUAACGGAGUAAUUUGGCUAAAUUACAAAAAAAUUUCUGUCAAUACCGAUUUUUUUAUUUUUUUUUGUCAUUCAAAAAUCUAUAAUUUGCUCUGUUAUAAAAUAAAAAUAUUUAUAUGAGAAUACAUUGUGACAAGAUAAUCAAAUUGUCCUCAACUUCUUCGGGUUGGGUGUGGACAGAGGGUGGACGAGGGCGAGAGUGAGGCGGCGGAGGCGAGCGAGAUCGUGUGUGUGGACAUGGAUAGAGAUGUAGGUGAGGGCAAAGUGGCGAAGGGCGAGGUGGUGCGAUCGAGAUCGGAGAGGAAGGAUGAGGGUUUCAAGAAUAUUUUGGGUAUAAAAAAUAUGAUAUAAACAUAAUCCAAACAGUACUGUAACGGAACACUUACGGCGGGUCAAAAUGAACAUUUUUUAUUUAAUAAAGAGACAAAAUGUAGGUUGAGAGAUUUUCUGUAAUUUAGCCUAGUAGUUUUUGUUAAAAUAAAUAUUUUUGAAUACUAAAUAUUAAGAAUAUGAUCUGAAAAAGUUGGCAAUGGAAAAUAAAAUGAUAAUAAAGUUGUGGUACAAUAAACUCUUUAAAUUUUAAAAAACACCAAGUCUCUAUUUAAAAAAGCUUAUAAUUUCUGCAAAAUCUUGUCGGAUUGUUGGCACUAACCACAACUCAAUUAAAACGUAACACUUUCCACGAAUCUCAAUUGUGAUUUGGUUUAACCAGCCUCACGUUACUCCGAAUAUAACUCGACCCAAUAUAGCCUUCUGCCACACAUCAAAAUGCUAGGGCGCAAAUUCAUAGCAUGCGAAAAUUAAAUCCGCGAUCUCUAAUUCUGAUACUACUUAUAAAAUUAUUGGCGCUAAUUAUUAACCCCAAAAGCUCAAACUAUUAGAAAUAUACUACCAACUUAGUUAAAACGUAUAGAUGCAACGCCCAUGAGUCUCUAUUAUGACUUGAUUCAAAUAAUCUCACAUUAUUUUGAAUAUGACUCGGCCCAUUCUAGCCCACGUCAUUUUGAACUUAACUCUGCUAAUCUGACUUUCCGCCGUAAGUCAGAAUGUUGGCUCCUUUAAGACGACACACCUUAUCUAAAAAAUUAUAGAAUUUACUAACCUAUUUUAAAUUUUAGAUAAAAAGAAUAAUACCACAAGUAAAAUAUAGAAGGCUUUUAGCAAACUACAUUAGAUAGUGUCAGUUUAUUUUUAACUAUUUGAGAGUUUUCUUGAAUGAUCGUUACGUGAUUUGAAUAGUGUGACUAGCGUAAGUAUGGGAUCAAUCAAUUGGAUAAAAUUGUAUUUUACGGCAUAAUUUUUAAUAUACAUUUGUAUGCAUAAAUCAGUGUCGGUGCUACUACUUUUUUGCCGCAGUGCUGAGCUGUACGCUUGUACCUAUGUUCCGAAUAGUCAACAGCUGUUGACUUUUAUUAUGUGAAUCUGGAGAUUAGAUCUAUCAAUUUUUUAUUAAAUCAUUGUUCCGUUGGGUAGCGUUUGAUUCGAGAAUAAGGAGAAAAUAAGCCCUCAUUCCCCCUUUGUUCCCAAACGUGAUAUUUGGUAUUCAGGAACAGCAGUUCCGGAAAUUUCAAGAACAAUAGUUCCAGAGUUUCAAGAACCCUUUUUCUAAAAUAAGCUUGUUCCUUAAUGAGAACAAAAUUAAUUAAAAUCUAAAUUUAAUUUUAAUUAACCAGUAAAUUAUUAAUUAAUCUAAUUAAUAUAUUUAAAUUAAUAUUUAUUAUUUUAAUAAUUUAUUAAUUUAUUAAUUUAUUAUUUAUAAUUAAUUAAUAAUAAUUAGAUAAUUAUUAUAAUUAAUUUAUUAUUAUUUAUAAUUAUUUAUUAAUAAUUAAUAAUAUUUAUUGUUAUUUAUUAAUAAUUAUUAAUAAUUAUUAUCCUUAAUAAUUAGAUAAUCGAAAGUAUUAUUAAUUUAUUAUUUAUAAUUAAUUAUUAAUAAUUAGGUAAUUAUUAUUAUUAAUUUAUUACUAGUAAUUAAUUAUUAAUAAUUAUUAUUUACUAAUAAAUAUUAAUUAUUAUUAUUAUUUAUUAAUAAAUAUUAAUAAUUAUUAUUAUUAAUAAUUAGAUAAUCGAUAUUAUUAUUAAUAAAAAUUAGAUAAUCGAUAUUAUUAUUAAUUUAUUAUUAAUAAUUAAUUAAUAAUAAUAAUUAAUAAUUAUUAUUAUUUUAUUAAUAAUUAUCAAUUAUUAUUAUUAUUAAUUAGAUAUUCAAUAUUAUUAAUUUAUUAUUUAUUAAUUAAUUAUUAAUAAUUAUUAAUACUUAUUAUUAUUUAUAAUUAAUUUAUUAAUAAUUAAUUUAUUAUUUAUUUUUAAGUAAUAUUUUGAUGUUAAUUAAUUACAUAAUAUAAUUUUAAUUUUAAAUUAUAACUCUUAUUCCUCUUAUUACAAUUUAACCAUCCAAAUACUAUUUACCUUAUUACUAGAAACAACCCAAUUUUCAUCUAAACGCAAAAUUGGUCUAGUUCCUGCUUAUAUCUGAACUUGUACCUAUCCCUGAAACUAGCAGUUCUUACUUAUACCCGAACCAAACGCAGCCGAAAUUCGAGUUUGGUUCGGAAACGAGAGGAAUAAAUUCUUGUUCCCUCUUUAUUUCCGCAUGUAAUUUUUAGCAUUGAAAAAUAAUAGUUCUCAUAUUUCUAAAAUAAAUUGGUAUAAUUCGGUAUAAAUUUGAAAUUGUUGUUCCAUCCUUUUUUCUAAAACAAACAUAUUUCCAAAUGAAAAUAAGAUCAAUUAAAAUUAAAUUUUAAUUUUAAUUAUAAUAUUAAAUUAUUAUUUAAUCUAAUUAAUAUAUUUAAAUCAUUAUCCAAUUGCUUUAAAUAAUAAAACAAUUAAUUAAUUUAUUAUUUCUAAAUAAUUAGCUAAUUAAUUAUUAAUAAUUUAAUAUGUAAAUUAAUAUUUAUAUUGAUCAGCCAUUAAUUUUUUUAUUAUCUAAUUAAUUUUUUUACGAGUUAUCAAAUUAAUAUAAUUUACUAACUAAUUAAAAAGUUAAAUUAUUUUUAUAUUAAAUUAAUUAAUUAAUAUAUUUUUAUUAUUUUAUACAAUAUUCAUACUUUCAUUCGUUAGUUUAUUCAAUUAUUCCAAUCUAACCAUCNUUUCGAACCAAACGGAAGCUAAAGAAUAAAAAUUAAUAAUAAUAGCAAACUAGGCUUAAGCAAUUAAUUUUUAUAAUUCAAAAUAUAACUAUAUUGUACGGACACGAGGGUAGGGGGCAGAGUUAUUAUUAUGCGGACGGUGCGAUGGACGGGGAAAUGGGAACCGGAUUGUAUGGGGACUUUUUUUUUUUUUUAUUGAGAUAGUAUGGGGUCAAGCGUGGUGGAGACCAUAGUUAGUUAGUGGAGAGUCUGGAGACUUCGAGUGGGUGGGGCCCGAGGUUGCCCUGUUAAAUUGAUAAUUAAUUACAGAUUGGUCCUUAAAUUUCUCAGAAAUUUUAAUUCAGAUCUUUUUUAUUAUAAUCAUAUUACAAAUAUUUAUUAUGAAUUUCAAUGGAAUCACUUUUGACAAAAAGUUAUUAUCACUUGGCAAAAUCUGGCGCUUCCGCGGCAUUAAUUUGAUAAAUUUGAUAAAUAUUGGUUAAUGCUAACGGAGUAGUUUGGCUAAAUUACAAAAAAUUUUCUGUCAAUACCAGCUUUUUUAUUUUUUUGUCAUUUAAAAAUCUACAAUUUACUCUGUUAUAAAAUUAAAAUAUUUAUAUAAGAAUAUACUGUGACAAAAUAAUUAAAUUGUCCUCAACUUCUUCGGGUUGGGUGUGGACAGAGGGUGGACGAGGGCGAGAGUGGGGCGACGGAGGUGAGCGAGGACGUGUGUGUGGACAUGGACAGAGAGGUGGGUGAGGGCCAGGCGGCGAAGGGCGAGGUGGUGCGAUCGAGAUCGGUGAGGAAGGAUGAGGAUUUUAAGGAUAUUUUGGGUAUAAAAAAUGUGAUAUAAACAGAAUCCAAACGGUACUCUAACUGAACACUUACGGCGGGUCAAAGUGAACAUUUUUUAUUUUAUAAAGAAAUAAAAUGUAGGUUGAGAAGUUUCUGUAAUUUAGCCUAGUAGUUUUUGUUAAAAUAAAUAUUUUUGAAUACUAAAAAUUAUGAAUAUGAUCUGAAAAAGUUGGCAAUGGAAAAUAAAAUGAUAAUAAAGUUGUGGUACAAAAACUCUUAAAUUUUAAAAAACACCAAGUCUAUAUUUAAAAAAGCUUAUAAUUUUUGCAAAAUCUUGUCGGAUCUUUGGCACUAACCACAACUCAAUUAAAACGUAACACCUUCCACGUAUCUCAAUUGUGAUUUGGUUCAACCAGCCUCACGUUACUUCGAAUAUAACUCGACCCAAUAUAGCCUCCUGCCACACAUCAAAAUGCUAGGGCGCAAAUUCACAGCAUGCGAAAAUUAAAUCCGUGAUCUCUAAUUCUAAUACUACUUAUAAAAUUAUUUGUGCUAAUUAUUAACCCCAAAAGCUCAAACUAUUAGAAAUAUACGACCAACUUAGUUAAAGCGUACAGAUACAACAUCCGUGAGUCUCUAUUAUGACUUGGUUUAAACAAUCUCACAUUAUUUCGAAUAUGACUCAGCCCAUUCUAGCCCACGCCAUUUUGAACGUAACUUUGCUAACCUGACUUUCCGCGCACAGGUCAGAAUGCUGGCUCCUUUCAAACGACACACCUUAUCUAAAAAAUUAUAGAAUUUACUAACCUAUUUUAAAUUUUAGAUAAAAAGAAUAAUACCACAAGUAAAAUAUAGAAGGCUUUUAGCAAACUACAUUAGAUAGUGUCAGUUUAUUUUUAACUAUUUGAGAGUUUUUUUGAAUGAUCGUUACGUGAUUUGAAUAGUAUAUAUAUAUUUUUCGAGAGAUAGAUAGCACACUAUUCGCUUCAUUUAUUUCAUUUAGAAAUAAAUUUAGCUAGAAAUAUAAAUCAACUAGGAUUCGAAUUUGGACCUCGGGUACCAAUCAUCAAAUUUUUUGUCACUUCUCUAG
rnacentral:lncRNA from 1 species